rnacentral:rRNA from 1 species
GUGGGGAAUCUUGCGCAAUGGGCGAAAGCCUGACGCAGCCAUGCCGCGUGAAUGAUGAAGGUCUUAGGAUUGUAAAAUUCUUUCACCGGGGACGAUAAUGACGGUACCCGGAGAAGAAGCCCCGGCUAACUUCGUGCCAGCAGCCGCGGUAAUACGAAGGGGGCUAGCGUUGCUCGGAAUUACUGGGCGUAAAUGGAGCGUAGGCGGACAUUUAAGUCAGGGGUGAAAUCCCGUGGAUCAACCUCGGAAUUGCCUUUGAUACUGGGUGUCUUGAGUGUGAGAGAGGUAUGUGGAACUCCGAGUGUAGAGGUGAAAUUCGUAGAUAUUCGGAAGAACACCAGUGGCGAAGGCGACUUUCUGGACGAUGUCUGACGCUGAGGCGCGAAAGCUAGGGGAGCGAACGGGAUUAGAAACCCUUGUAGUCC